GUGAUGACCCCGCGUUGCUGGCGGACCCCCGACCUGGCAGCAACGCGGGGUUCGCCU
rnacentral:sRNA from 1 species